rnacentral:rRNA from 1 species
GAUGAACGCUGGCGGCGUGCUUAACACAUGCAAGUCGAACGGGAAUUACUUUAUUGAAACUUCGGUCGAUUUAAUUUAAUUCUAGUGGCGGACGGGUGAGUAACGCGUGGGUAACCUGCCUUGUACAGGGGGAUAACAGUCAGAAAUGACUGCUAAUACCGCAUAAGCGCACAGAGCUGCAUGGCUCGGUGUGAAAAACUCCGGUGGUAUAAGAUGGACCCGCGUUGGAUUAGCUAGUUGGUGAGGUAACAGCCCACCAAGGCGACGAUCCAUAGCCGGCCUGAGAGGGUGAACGGCCACAUUGGGACUGAGACACGGCCCAGACUCCUACGGGAGGCAGCAGGGGGGAAUAUUGCACAAUGGGGGAAACCCUGAUGCGGCGACGCCGCGUGAAGGAAGAAGUAUCUCGGUGUGUAAACUUCUAUCAGCAGGGAAGAGAUUGACGGUACCUGAUUAAGAAGCCCCGGCUAACUACGUGCCAGCCGCCGCAGUAAGAC